rnacentral:rRNA from 1 species
UACGUAGGCAGCAAGCGUUGUUCGGAAUCAUUGGGCGUAAAGCGCGUGUAGGCGGUUCGGUAAGUCUGCUGUGAAAGUCCAGGGCUCAACCCUGGGAUGCCGGUGGAUACUGUCGAACUAGAGUACGGAAGAGGCGAGUGGAAUUCCUGGUGUAGCGGUGAAAUGCGCAGAUAUCAGGAGGAACACCAAUUGCGAAGGCAGCUCGCUGGGACGUUACUGACGCUGAGACGCGAAAGCGUGGGGAGCAAACAGG